UACGUAGGCAGCGAGCGUUGUUCGGAGUUACUGGGCGUAAAGGGUGCGUAGGCGGGAGAAUAAGUCAGCGGUGAAAUCUUACGGCUCAACCGUGAAACUGCCGUUGAUACUGUUUUUCUUGAGUUCGGGAGAGGUUGAUGGAAUUCCAGGUGUAGCGGUGAAAUGCGUAGAUAUCUGGAAGAACACCAGUGGCGAAGGCGGUCAACUGGCCCGAAACUGACGCUGAGGCACGAAAGCGUGGGUAGCGAACAGG
rnacentral:rRNA from 1 species